CCUACGGGAGGCAGCAGUGGGGAAUAUUGGACAAUGGGGGGAACCCUGAUCCAGCGACGCCGCGUGAGUGAAGAAGUAUUUCGGUAUGUAAAGCUUUAUCAGCAGGGAAGAAAGGAAUGACGGUACCUGACUAAGAAGCCUCGGCUAAAUACGUGCCAGCAGCCGCGGUAAUACGUAGGGGGCAGGCGUUAGCCGGAGUUACAGGGUGUAAAGGGAGCGUAGACGGGGACGCAAGUCUGGAGUGAAAGGCGGGGGGCCAAACCCCGGACUGCUUUGGAAACUGUAUAACUGGAGUGCAGGAGAGGUAAGUGGCAUUCCUGGUGUAGCGGUGAAAUGCGUAGAUAUUAGGCGGAACUCCAGUGGCGAAGGCGGCUUACUGGACUGUAACUGACGUUGAGGCUCGAAAGCGUGGGUAGCAAACAGGAUUAGAUACCCGUGUAGUC
rnacentral:rRNA from 1 species